ensembl:lncRNA
AUGUAUUUUCCUCAAACUCACAAUAAAAAUUACUGUCCAAGUAAAUCGAGUCAAAUUAAAGAGGCCACAGGCUUUGGGCCCAUAUUUGAGGAGGAGCCCUUGGACACAGUGUAUGCGGAGGAUUCACCAGAGAACAAAAUCUCCAUGAACUGCAGAGCACAGGCCUACCCUCCGGCCAUUAUCAAGUGGUGGUUAAACAACUGGGAAAUUAAACUGAUGGAGCAACCUGAUGAGCACUUUAGCCUGGUGGGAGGAAACCUGGUCAUCACCAACCCAGACAAGAGCAAGCAUGCUGGGAAAUAUGUGUGUGUGGCUAAGAACGUGUACGGCACUGUCAUCAGCAAAGAGGCCACUGUCAAAUUUGGAUACCUAAACCAGUUCCCUACAGAUGAGAGAGAGCCGGUGCAUGUUAAGGAGGGACAAGGAGCAGUGCUGCUGUGUUCUCCUCCCUCUCGCUAUCCAAGUGAGGUGAUGUUCCGCUGGAUCUACAAUGACUUCCCAAACUUCAUCAUACCAGACCAGAGGCGUUUCGUGUCACAGACCACUGGCAAUAUGUACAUCGCUAAAGUCGAGGCAUCUGAUGUUGGGAAUUAUUCUUGUUUCGUGUCAAGCCCCACCAUCGGCAAGAGUGUUUUCAGCAUUGAGCGCUGUAAAAUUACCCACAAUACCACGAUUUUUGCUCAUAAUUGCCUUACUGAGACCACUGUGAAGCGGUAUCCUGCUGAUAUCCGUGUGAAAUUUCCCAAGACUUAUGCUUUGGUGCAUCAGAACAUCACUCUGGAGUGCUUUGCCCUUGGAAAUCCGCUCCCACACAUCCGCUGGAGGAAGUUAGACGCUGAUCUCCCGCCCAACUAUGAGGUCAGCAUGAAUGGAGCUUUACUGCACCUGAUUAACGUUCAGUACGAGGAUGAAGGGAGCUACGAGUGUGAGACGCUCAACGUUAAAGGGAUGGACUGGUAUCGACAGUGGCUCUAUGUGACCUACCUGAAAUUCUGCAUUGCGCAUACGAUGGAUACUUUACUAUCCCAUGAGAAAGAUGUUGGUAGCGAACUCACUCUCAGGUGUGUUGCCGUGGGGAAGCCUUUACCAUGGAUACGCUGGCUGAAGGAUGGCUAUUCGUAUGGCAAAGGGGAGCUGAAGUUCUCCAGUCUCACGUUUGAGGAUUCGGGCAUGUAUCAGUGUAUUGCUGAGAAUGAAUGGGGGACCAUCUAUGCUAGCGCGGAGCUUCGGGUUGUCUCCUGUGCACCAACAUUCAUUUAUAAUCCAGUGAAGAAGGUUCUGCUCGGGGCUGAAAACGGUCGUGUGGUUAUAGAGUGCAAACCCAGCGCUGCUCCUAAACCCAAGUUCAUCUGGAAACGAGGCUCAGAGCUGCUGACCAACUCUUCAAGGAUGUUAAUUUGGGAUGAUGGAAGUCUGGAGAUUCUGAACGUGUCAAAAAGUGACGAGGGCUCGUACACAUGCUAUGCUGAGAAUGACCGCGGCAAAUCCAACAGCACAGGGACCCUCACUAUCACCGAGGCCACCAAAAUCACAGAGGCUCCAUCAGACACUGAGGCAGUUGUAGGUGACACUACAAUUCUCCAGUGUUCUGCAUCAUUUGAUCCCAGCCUGGACAUCACCUUUAUCUGGACUGUUGAUUCCUACGUCAUCAACUUCUACACAGACUUUGAACACUACGAGCUGCUCAUGAACAGCGGAGACCUGCUGAUCAAGAACAUCCAGGUGAGGCACGCAGGACACUAUUCCUGCACAGCUCAGACCAUAGUGGACAAUGCCACCGCAGAAGCUGAUGUUUUUGUCAAAGGUCUGCCUGGUCCUCCAGGUGGUGUCCGUGUGGAAGAGAUUGGAGACACGUCAGUAAAACUACGAUGGAGUCUGGGAUCAGACCACGGUAGUCCUUUUAUCCAACAGGUUGUACAAACACGAGACUUUUACGCCCUGGAUCCUGAGGACUGGAAAACCGCAUCCACCUCUCCUGUGUUUUUGGACGGAUCUACAGAGUCAGCCACCAUAGUUGACCUUUACCCCUGGAUGCAAUAUGAAUUCCGUGUGCAUGCAAUCAAUGAAUUUGGAGCUGGGGAAAACAGCCGUCCGUCCAUCAAAAUCAAGACAUGGGACGCCAGGCCUACAGUAGCUCCUUCUGAUGUACUGGGGCAAGUUGGAAUAAGCGGAGAGCUUAUCGUGACCUGGACUCCUGUAAAGCCUCAGUUCUUCUUUGGUAAAAAAUUUGGCUACGUCGUGGCGUUUAAGCAGCAUGAGGAUUCUGAAUGGAAGUGGACGACUGUGGAGGAUCCCGAGACUAGACGCUACGUCUACAAAGAUAGCAUGACCCCAGACACUGAGAUACAGGUCAAAGUGAAAACCUACAAUAACAAAGGAGAAGGACCCUCAAGUCUUAUAUCAGUGGUCGACUCACCAAGGCUAGCACCCACUGAAGCUCCAUUAGAUGUCUACGCCCGCCAGGUCACCGCUACAGAAGCUUUGGUCUGGUGGUUACCGAUCUACCAGAUUCGUUACUGGAGGAAGUACGAUGAUAAUGAAGCUGCUGCCUCUCGAGUUCUUGUGCAUAGAGCAAUUAACCAAACUCGCCUGGAGAACAUGCGGCCUGACUCCCACUACCUCAUAGAGGUACGAGCGUUCAACGGAGCUGGGCUCGGGCCACCCAGCGAGCAUUGUGAAAUGUUCACCAGGAGACCACCCCCAAGUCGCCAUUUGAGAGUCUACAAAUAUGUCAGCUUUAAUCGCAAAUGGCUCUAUCUAUAUUGGGAUCACAUCUAUAACUACUGGAAUGAGUCAUAUGUGGAGGGAUACAAGAUUUUGUUCAGGAAGGAAGGAGAGCGUUAUGGGAAGCUUUACACCACAGGCAGACACUACAUUGACUUUCCCAUGCCAGAGACAGGUGAUUACAUCAUAGAGGUCCGAGCCCGCUGCGAGGGAGGUGAUGGACCCAUAUCACAGAUCAGAGUGCAAGGUGAAUACUGUCUUUUACAUAUCAGUAAGGAUUUCAUUUUUUAUCAACCUCAUUCAUCAUGUUCCUACCCUAAUCAUGUUCUAAUAAUUACAAAAUGAUAUCUGAAGUUCUGCAUAGUUUAAAGUAUAUAUUCACUACAAGAACUGAAAUAAGUUUCACAUAGUCAUAGAUGCAUAGAUGCAGUUACACAAUUGUAACCUUUAUUCAUACUGAUCUUUCUUACCAUUGUUUUGUAUUAUGUUCAGGGAAAGCCGCUUUGGGUGCUGAAUCUCUCAGCGUCGCCUCUGUCUUGCUGCUGGCACUGGGAUGGAUGAAUUUAGGCCUGUAGGCAUAAACAGCUGUCAACACUUUUGGCGAAAUUCACUUCUAAGAAACAAUCUUUAUAUAUUUUGAGUGCAUUUCCUUAAAGCGGUGGUUUUCGUGGUGUAGAUGAAGUUUGUUUGGGAGUGUAGAAUAUAAAGAAUUUAUACCCUCUUGGUUUGCCUUACAAACUACAGUACCCGCAAUCAACUAAUGAAACGUAUUGUAAAAUAAAUGUGGUGGCAGGGUAUGGUGAACUUUUUUG